rnacentral:rRNA from 1 species
UAGGGAAUCUUCCACAAUGGACGCAAGUCUGAUGGAGCAACGCCGCGUGAGUGAAGAAGGUUUUCGGAUCGUAAAGCUCUGUUGUUGGUGAAGAAGGAUAGAGGCAGUAACUGGUCUUUAUUUGACGGUAAUCAACCAGAAAGUCACGGCUAACUACGUGCCAGCGGCCGCGGUAAUACGUAGGUGGCAAGCGUUGUCCGGAUUUAUUGGGCGUAAAGCGAGCGCAGGCGGAAUGAUAAGUCUGAUGUGAAAGCCCACGGCUCAACCGUGGAACUGCAUCGGAUACUGUCAUUCUUGAGUGCAGAAGAGGAGAGUGGAAUUCCAUGUGUAGCGGUGGAAUGCGUAGAUAUCUGGAAGAACACCAGUGGCGAAGGCGGCUCUCUGGUCUGCAACUGACGCUGAGGCUCGAAAGCAUGGGUAGCGAACAGG